CCUACGGGUGGCAGCAGUGGGGAAUAUUGGACAAUGGGGGGAACCCUGAUCCAGCCAUGCCGCGUGUGUGAAGAAGGCCCUCGGGUUGUAAAGCACUUUCAGUGAGGAAGAACGCCUGGUGGUUAAUACCCAUCAGGAAAGACAUCACUCACAGAAGAAGCACCGGCUAACUCCGUGCCAGCAGCCGCGGUAAUACGGAGGGUGCGAGCGUUAAUCGGAAUUACUGGGCGUAAAGCGCGCGUAGGUGGCUUGAUAAGCCGGUUGUGAAAGCCCCGGGCUCAACCUGGGAACGGCAUCCGGAACUGUCAAGCUAGAGUGCAGGAGAGGAAGGUAGAAUUCCCGGUGUAGCGGUGAAAUGCGUAGAGAUCGGGAGGAAUACCAGUGGCGAAGGCGGCCUUCUGGACUGACGCUGACACUGAGGUGCGAGAGCGUGGGUAGCAAACAGGAUUAGAUACCCCUGUAGUC
rnacentral:rRNA from 1 species